AUGAAAACCACCCCGUUUCUCUUCGCACUCUUUUUUACCUUCCCCAGUUAGGGAGGCGAUUCGUUUUGUGAGAAAAAGUGCGAAGACGAACAAUAAAGCCUCCCAAACCGGGAGGCUUUUUUAU
rnacentral:ncRNA from 1 species